GGGAUCAGUUGUAGCAAUACGACUGUGAGAGUGGCGCACGGGUGCGUAACACGUAUGCAACCUACCUUAAACUGGGGAAUAGCCCCUCGAAAGAGGGAUUAAUACCGCAUAACGAGGCGUGUAGGCAUCUACACUCCUCUAAAACUCCGGUGGUUUAAGAUGGGCAUGCGGCUGAUUAGCUAGUUGGUGAGGUAAUGGCUCACCAAGGCUACGAUCAGUAGGGGGUCUGAGAGGAUGUCCCCCCACACUGGUACUGAGACACGGACCAGACUCCUACGGGAGGCAGCAGUAGGGAAUAUUGGACAAUGGGGGAAACCCUGAUCCAGCCAUGCCGCGUGCAGGAUGACUGCCCUAUGGGUUGUAAACUGCUUUUGUACGGGAAGAAACCACAUUACGUGUAAUGUGUUGACGGUACCGUGAGAAUAUGGAUCGACUAACUUCGUGCCAGCAGCCGCGGUAAUACGAAGGAUCCUAGCGUUGUCCGGAUUUACUGGGUUUAAAGGGUGCGUAGGCGGACUUUUAAGUCAGUGGUGAAAGCCUGCAGCUUAACUGUAGAAUUGCCAUUGAAACUGAAAGUCUCGAGUGUGGUUGAGGUAGCUGGAAUGUAUCAUGUAGCGGUGAAAUGCUUAGAUAUGAUACAGAACUCCAAUUGCGAAGGCAGGCUACUAAACCAUAACUGACGCUGAGGCACGAAAGCGUGGGGAUCAAACAGGAUUAGAUACCCUGGUAGUCCACGCCCUAAACGUUGCAUACUCGGUUUUGGCGAUAUACAGUCAGGACCCAAGCGAAAGCGUUAAGUAUGCCACCUGGGAAGUACGAUCGCAAGAUUGAAACUCAAAGGAAUUGACGGGGGCCCGCACAAGCGGANGAGCAUGUGGUUUAAUUCGAUGAUACGCGAGGAACCUUACCUGGGCUUGAAUGUGAGUGACCGCUGCCGAAAGGUNGCUUCCC
rnacentral:rRNA from 1 species